ACUCAAAUGAAUAGACGGGGACCCGCACAAGCAGUGGAGCAUGUGGUUUAAUUCGAUGCAACGCGAAGAACCUUACCUGGGCUUGACAUGCAGAGGACAGUACUAGAAAUAGUAUCUCCCUUCGGGGCCUUUGCACAGGUGCUGCAUGGCUGUCGUCAGCUCGUGCCGUGAGGUGUUGGGUUAAGUCCCGCAACGAGCGCAACCCUUAUCAUUAGUUGCCAACAGUUUAGGCUGGGAACUCUAAUGAGACUGCCUGGGUUAACCAGGAGGAAGGUGGGGAUGACGUCAAGUCCGCAUGGCCCUUAUGUCCAGGGCUACACACGUGCUACAAUGGUCGGUACAAAGGGCAGCCAAACCGCAAGGUGGAGCAAAUCCCAUAAAGCCGGCCCCAGUUCAGAUUGUAGUCUGCAACUCGACUACAUGAAGUUGGAAUUGCUAGUAAUGGCGUAUCAGCUACAGCGCCGUGAAUACGUUCACGGGUCUUGUACACACCGCCCGU
rnacentral:rRNA from 1 species